rnacentral:lncRNA from 1 species
UACAUGUUGUUUCAACUGUACAUUUUAUUUCAUUUUAAUUAAUGACCCACAUAACUAUUCAUCCGGACCGGGCCUGCUCCACAUUCGCUAUCAGCACCCCCUCAUGGCCCAUUAUUCUAAUACACAUGCAUUCUAACUCUUUCUUGUUAAUUCAUUUUUUAUUUUUCUGUUUUGCAUUUUAAUUAUUAAAAAUAUUUUAUUUGUUCACAAAAAUAUCAAAAAAUAUUUUUUAUAUUCCUCAUUGUCUUAUUUAAUUUAUUUUUAUUUUUAUUU